AUGACAAAGAAGAGAAAUCAUUCCAUCUAUGUUUAUUAAAUCUCAAAAUAGUCCUUAAUUAGGCCAAAACAGACUGCAGCUUUAAAAGAUAUCACACUGAAAGGAGGAAAAAAAACACUAAUAGAAAAAUGCUUUGGUAAACUAAUUUUAGGAUAUCAUGAUCAAACUUUCGGAAUGCAAUUAGACAAGUAGAAAGCAAAAUACUAAGCCA
rnacentral:misc_RNA from 1 species